GGGCGUUGAUGUUCUUGAGCGCGUUUCACUCGAGUUUCAUGAGUGGAACAGGUAGAGCGAGCUGACGCGCUUCCGGCCGCAGGUUGGAGAGAUGCCGUCAUGAACGCGCGGGUUUAACGAGGCUUCACGCUCUGCGCUUGGACGCGGAGGUCUUGAUCGUUAGGGAUUCAGAAUAACAACAACAACAGCGGUUCCUCCGCAGAUAUCAUAGCAGUUUCUCAGGAAUUCACGUCUUGCUUUUAUCUUCCUCAUCCACUUGGUUAAAGUUCCCUUCCAAAAUGUAAAAGGAUGACUGUGGAUGAAAAGGAUCACUGUGUAGUCACUACUAACCAGUGUGUGUGUGGAGCAUCAUGAGUUCGGUGAAUGCAUUGGGCCUGUGCAUGCCGGUGUUGUUCCUUCUGGCUCUGGCCCUGGUUCUGUUCUCGUGUGUCCUCCGUAAGAGGCGGCAGAUGGAGGGAUCGUACCAGCCCAGCUCGGAAGAGCGGAAACAAGCCAAGAACCAUGGAGCCGAGAGACCCGGUCUCACUCUUCCACUGCCCAAAGAGGAGAGACUGAUCUGAAUGCAGCCCUCAGAAAAGAUGAUGAAACCACACCAGUUUAGGGUGAUCAGGUAAACUUAAACAGAACUUUCAUGCUAACUUCAUAUUGAUAUUUAUGUGGAGUCCACGCACGGGUGCAGUCCUGACAAACAAGUGGAGGUUCAUGGAUGGAGAACGUUUGAAGUGGUGGUGGGUAUUUAUUUGACGCUUUUGACUGAGAUGUGAGAAUGCUUUCAUAUCAUAAUGCACUAUUAAAGUCGAUAAAUCAAUUCAAGUAUGCCUAACGAUGUUUUGCUGUCACUCUUGGGACAGCUGAAGCCACUGCCAAGUGCAUUUGUCAUAAGAAAAUAAACCAGAUGAUUUAGAUAGACGGCCAAACCAGUUUGACUUUGUUUACUUCAUCUGUAUAUUAAGUUUACUCACCCGAGAGUCUUUAAGGAGACAUGGCAGCUUUACCUCCAAAACAGUUUACCAUUAUAAUAUUGAAUAUUUUAAAUGUCCAAAAGCGAACAUUGUUGCAGUUUUUUCAAAGGAAGAGAGAUAAAUCUAUAUUGUGCUUUGCCAAAUGUUGUUUUGUAUUAGGUUUGCAUUUCUGUAAUGUCUGUAACACAUCAAUAUUAGGAAUGAUCAUAAUGUGAUGAAGUGACUGUGUAACUGUGGAUGAUUAAUUAAAAUGCAUC